GACCGCGUAGCUCAGUUGGCAGAGCAUUGGGCUAGUAUUCCAAAGGUCGUAGGUUCAAUUCCCACCGUUGACA
rnacentral:tRNA from 1 species